UGUGGCCCUAAUGACUGACAUCACAGAGGAUGGGAGGAAAUCUCUUCUAAGGGAUGAGGUGUCUCUUGGGGGAAUAUGGGAAUAAUCAAAAAGUGUUUUUGGAGCAUCAGUAGGAACUGAGUAGGUGUUAAAGAUUGACCUAUUAUCUUACCUAAAGAAACCAUCUGUCCUUAACCUUAUCUCUUCUAAAGCUUUGAGAUAAAUAUACAUAUCUAAUAUUCACUAGUGACCACAAUUUAUCUCAAUAUUAAUUUUUUCUGUUGUCAGUUCAUAUGCAUAAUAUUUUUGUUUAACAC
rnacentral:lncRNA from 1 species